rnacentral:rRNA from 1 species
UACGAAGGGGGGCUAGCGUUGCUCGGAAUCACUGGGCGUAAAGGGUGCGUAGGCGGGUCUUUUAAGUCAGGGGGUGAAAUCCUGGAGCUCAACUCCAGAACUGCCUUUGAUACUGAAGAUCUUGAGUUCGGGAGAGGUGAGUGGAACUGCGAGUGUAGAGGUGAAAUUCGUAGAUAUUCGCAAGAACACCAGUGGCGAAGGCGGCUCACUGGCCCGAUACUGACGCUGGAGGCACGAAAGCGUGGGGAGCAAACAGG